AUGAUUUUAACUGUGCCACGUUCAGAUUCUCCUUUCAACUCAUCUGUUCCUUCCAACAUGUUGUCAUUUCUCUGUUUGGAAAUCACAACCAUGAAACCUCAAACAUUUAUGGGUUAUGCUAACAGCUUCCCUUGGUGUAUUUUUAAUAGUCAUUGCUUUUAUUAUUACCAGAUGUCAAGAUCCCAAAUGAUAACAGAGCGACAGACUUUAAGGGCUGAGGAAGCAAGACGUGGCAGGCAGGUGCCUCCUCCGCCAGCCCGGGAGCUCGGGGCGCAGUCUCCCCCGUGGAGCCUCGGUGGGCCCCGGGCCAACGCCUCCGUUCCGGCCCGCAGGGCGCUGAGCCGAGAACCCGUGGCAGCCGCCUCGGCCAAGCGGGCCUUGACCUCUUCAGCAAGGGAAGGUGGCUUCGUUCCCCAAAGACGAAGCCAGGACCCGCGCAACCCUCGGGUGACGGCCUGCGGGAGGAUGCGGGCCGCGUGGCAGACGCCCUCGGGGGUGGAAAUGCAGCUUCCUCUGCGGUGCCAAGCGCUUCAGGGCGGGAGAUGCUGCCGCUGUCAACCACCUGCUGGGUGAUCAGCCCGAAGCGGGGGCAGAAGGCGGGUGCCCAGCGGUGUGGCUUCGCGGGCCCCACUUAGCGUCUGGCCUUGGUCGGCUGCCCGUCUCGUGGUGGUGCCCGGGGAUCCUAAUGCUGAUGCCCAAAGCUUGGAGGCGGGAGGUCUUCCCGGGCCCCAGACCAGUGCCCUGGGCUGGCACAGUAACUUGCAGGAGCGCUGGCCCCAGCACGGAUGGCAGCUAGCGCCUCGGCGGCCCCAGCACGUCCCCCACCUCAGCGGGGCCCUCCUUGGCGACACAAAGCCCACCCUCCCCCAGACGGGAGGCAACAGUUUCUCCAGAGCUGGGUUGGUCCCCAGAUGCCGGGGAAGGCCGCGUGCCCCGUUCUUGCCCCGCAGCCUCCCAGCCUUCCCGCCGAGGGCCGCGCGGAUCUGCUGCACCUGCGUGGGCUCCAUGUCGUCCGCUCCACGAUGGAGCAUUCGGGAUGAUCAUCCAAAAGUUGGGUGAUCUUAAGGCAGCAGUUGGGCCUCUAGGGCCCGCUGUCCUCCCCGGGCAUCGCGGCGGCGCGUGGGGAAGGCCAUACAGGGACAGGGACGCGUCACCCUCCCAGGAAGCCCGAGAGAGCCAUGGCCCGUGCACUUUUAAGCGGCCGAAGCCGCUGGUCUUCCCUGUCGGGAGCAGACCCUCCUGGCGCCCCGCGGAAGGCCCGACCCAGGCAAGCCUACAGAAGAGGCACCUCUGUCUUUGUCUAGUACCUUUGUGGCUUUGUCAUUGCAUUUAAAUCUUUAAUCCAACUGAAGAAGGUUUUGAUAAAUGGCGUGGUACUGAGAGGUCUGCCUUUACGUUUUUUCAAAUGUAUCAAUAAUAUAUAUUGAAUAAUCGUUUGCUUUUCCAUUGAAUUCCUAUCAAACUAAAAGUCUGAUUUUGGCCUUUUCUAUGUCAUAUUAAAUCUGCUAGAUUCUGCCUUGGUAUCAAACUAUUUUCAUUAUUGGGACUUUAUAAUUCAUUUUUAAUAUCUAAUAGGGAAAAGCACCCUUCACUUCUCUUCCUUUCUAAACUGUCCUCAUGGGACGCCUGGGGGGCUCAGCGGUUGAGCGUCUGCCUUCAGCUCAGGGCAUGACCCUGGGGUCCUGGGAUCGAGUCCCGCAUCGGGGCUCCUGCAGGGAGCCUGCUUCUCCCUCUGCUGUGUCUCUCUCUGCCUUUGUGUCUCUCAUGAAUAAAUAAAUAAAAUCUUUUAAAAAAUAAAAAUUA
rnacentral:lncRNA from 12 species